CUGGCUACGAAGGGACUACCUGUGAAACAAAUACCGACGAUUGUACUACUACUUCUUGCGCGAGUACAGGAACUUGUAAUGAUGGAGUUAACAGCUUUACGUGCGAUUGUGAUCCUGGCUACGAAGGGACUACCUGUGAAACAAAUACCGACGAUUGUACUACUACUUCUUGCGCGAGUACAGGAACUUGUAAUGAUGGAGUUAACAGCUUUACGUGCGAUUGUGAUCCUGGCUACGAAGGGACUACCUGUGAAACAAAUACCGACGAUUGUACUACUACUUCUUGCGCGAGUACAGGAACUUGUAAUGAUGGAGUUAACAGCUUUACGUGCGAUUGUGAUCCUGGCUACGAAGGGACUACCUGUGAAACAAAUACCGACGAUUGUACUACUACUUCUUGCGCGAGUACAGGAACUUGUAAUGAUGGAGUUAACAGCUUUACGUGCGAUUGUGAUCCUGGCUACGAAGGGACUACCUGUGAAACAAAUACCGACGAUUGUACUACUACUUCUUGCGCGAGUACAGGAACUUGUAAUGAUGGAGUUAACAGCUUUACGUGCGAUUGUGAUCCUGGCUACGAAGGGACUACUUGUGAAA